rnacentral:rRNA from 1 species
UACGUAGGGUGCGAGCGUUGUCCGGAAUCAUUGGGCGUAAAGAGCUCGUAGGCGGUUUGUCGCGUCUGCUGUGAAAACGCGAGGCUCAACCUCGCGCCUGCAGUGGGUACGGGCAGACUAGAGUGCGGUAGGGGAGAUUGGAAUUCCUGGUGUAGCGGUGGAAUGCGCAGAUAUCAGGAGGAACACCGGUGGCGAAGGCGGGUCUCUGGGCCGAUACUGACGCUGGAGGAGCGAAAGCGUGGGGAGCGAACAGG